UCAAAAACAUGUGAAAGAAUUUAUACAUUUCCCUUGUGACAUGACGUGAAGGAAAGUAUCAUGAAUAAUUCUACCUUCCUUGGGGACCAGUGGGGAUUUUCGCAGUAAUGAUAGUGCAUAGAAGGGAAGGAAAACUGCCGUGCCCUUGCCUUACCUCUUGAAUGUCAGCUCCAGAGAAUGAGCAGCAACUUUCCUCCCCGUCAUUGGUUCUCCACUCCUACUUAUGGUCUCUUGGAUGCCCUUUCAGAAAAUGACUCCCUGGGAACUCAAUCUUCUGGGAUUGAACCAUACCAGUAAAUCCCUGAAACAAGACUCCUCAGACAACGAGCCUCUUCACCUACCUAUUGUCUAAAAGCCAGCCUCUGAAGGUGAUGACCACAAAUAUGAGGUGGAUUUCCUACAGUUGGUGCCAUUACUUCUAUCAGCAGCUUCACCAAAACAAUGAUACAGUCUUCCUUAUGCGUGGAGACUCCUCUCUUUCCUGUGUUGCAGUGGAUACCUCCUGCAGAUAAGAAAUGCUUAACUGAGAAAUGCUCAUGUUGGGAUAUCAUCGAUGAGACUUUAAUUUGGGCAUGGUGACUGUUUCCCUUGCUGCCACUUGACUCAAUCCCAGGAACCUCAGUUGAGGAAAUUAUUACACAAGAAGCUCAAAAUGGUGGAAUUGCUCAGUGCUCCCAUAAAUAUACAUUUAUAAUUUUCUUUUGCCAUAUGGUAAAUUGAAAAAAAAAAGAUAUAUUAAAAAGAAACUGCAUUAUUUUUUUUCAAAAAUUCAAGGCAUAUUUAAAUAACUAAUAUAUAAAUUAAGUGCCCUCUCUCUUCCAAUUCUAUUCCCAUAGUUUUCCUCUAUAAGGGAGUUAUGUGCAUUCUCUUAGUGGAUAUAUGCACACAAACACACACAUUAAGUUAUUUUUUUGGAGGGGUUUGGAAGUGGGGUCAUAUUGUAACAUGUUCUUCUGCAAAAUGCCUCAUUCAU